UCGAGAAUUUUUCACAAUGGGCGAAAGCCUGAUGGAGCGACGCCGCGUGGGGGAUGAAUGGCUUCGGCCCGUAAACCCCUGUCAUUUGCGAACAAACCUUGUCAUUUAAAAGAUGACGAGCUGAUUGUAGCGAAAGAGGAAGGGACGGCUAACUCUGUGCCAGCAGCCGCGGUAAUACAGAGGUCCCAAGCGUUGUUCGGAUUCACUGGGCGUAAAGGGUGCGUAGGUGGUCGGGUAAGUCUGAUGUGAAAUCUCCGAGCUUAACUCGGAAACUGCAUCGGAUACUAUUCGGCUUGAGGGUUGGAGGGGGGACUGGAAUACUUGGUGUAGCAGUGAAAUGCGUAGAUAUCAAGUGGAACACCAGUGGCGAAGGCGAGUCCCUGGACAACUCCUGACACUGAGGCACGAAAGCUAGGGGAGCAAAC
rnacentral:rRNA from 1 species